rnacentral:rRNA from 1 species
CAGGCCUAACACAUGCAAGUCGAGGGGCAUCAUGAAGUUUGCUUGCAAACUUUGAUGGCGACCGGCGCACGGGUGAGUAACGCGUAUCCAACCUUCCCCGUAGUAGGGCACAGCCCGGCGAAAGUCGGAUUAAUUCCCUAUGCUCUUCACAGAUGACAUCAGAAGUGAAGCAAAGAUUUAUCGCUAUGGGAUGGGGAUGCGUCUGAUUAGGUUGCGGGCGGGGUAACGGCCCACCUGGCCCGCGAUCAGUAGGGGUUCUGAGAGGAAGGUCCCCCACAUUGGAACUGAGACACGGUCCAAACUCCUACGGGAGGCAGCAGUGAGGAAUAUUGGUCAAUGGAGGCAACUCUGAACCAGCCAAGUAGCGUGCAGGACGACGGCCCUAUGGGUUGUAAACUGCUUUUAUGAGGGGAUAACCUGCGCCACGUGUGGCGCACUGCAUGUACCUCAUGAAUAAGGACCGGCUAAAUCCGUGCCAGCAGCCGCGGUAAUACGGAGGAUGCGAGCGUUAUCCGGAUUUAUUGGGUUUAAAGGGAGCGCGGACUGGAGAUUAAGUCAGCUGUUAAAUGGCGGCGCCCAACGUCGUCCUGCGGUUGAUACUGGUUUCCUUGAGUGCGGCAUAGGCAUGCGGAAUUCACGGUGUAGCGGUGAAAUGCUUAGAUAUCGUGAAGAACUCCGAUCGCGAAGGCAGCGUGCCGGACCGUUACUGACGUUUAGGCUCGAAAGUGCGGGUAUCAAACAGGAUUAGAUACCCUGGUAGUCCGCACAGUAAACGAUGGACACUCGCUGUCGGCGACAGACAGUCGGCGGCCUAGCGAAAGCGUUAAGUGUCCCACCUGGGGAGUACGCCGGCAACGGUGAAACUCAAAGGAACUGACGGGGGCCCGCACAAGCGGAGGAACAUGUGGUUUAAUUCGAUGAUACGCGAGGAACCUUACCCGGGCUUGAACUGCACAGGGAUGUAGGAGAGAUCCUUCAGUCAGCAAUGACCUGUGUGGAGGUGCUGCAUGGUUGUCGUCAGCUCGUGCCGUGAGGUGUCGGCUUAAGUGCCAUAACGAGCGCAACCCUUUUCGUGAGUUGCCAUCAGGUAAUGCUGGGGACUCUCUCGAUACUGCCACCGUAAGGUGUGAGGAAGGUGGGGAUGACGUCAAAUCAGCACGGCCCUUACGUCCGGGGCUACACACGUGUUACAAUGGGUGAUACAGAGCGUCGGCCUUACGCAAGUGAGGUCCAAUCGUUAAAGUCAUCCUCAGUUCGGAUUGGGGUCUGCAACCCGACCCCAUGAAGCUGGAUUCGCUAGUAAUCGCGCAUCAGCCAUGGCGCGGUGAAUACGUUCCCGG